AGCUUGAAGUACAUGCGAUGCUCCUAAUGACUUUUAGGUAAUUUCUUUGUCGUUCUUUACCUCUUGAUGGGGAAAUGUGUAGCAUAACCGAGAUCUGCCCUUUAACUUUAACCGAGAUCUGCCCUUUAACUUUGCCUACUGACCUCAUUUCUAAAUGAAGACAUGCUAUUUUCUCCAUUGUUUUAAGGAAAAAAUUUAUCUAAGGUUGCAACCUUAAAAUGUAGAAUUAAGGUGCACCUAAAAAAUCCAUCAUAAAAGUUUGUUUUGCUGUUGGAAAACCUUCUAAUUGAUCAUCUCGACAUCAAGAUGUAUGAAUAUGAAAAGUAAAAAAGAUUUCAAGUCCGAAAAAUAGUGUAUCUUGCAACACAGUAUCUGGACCGUCCAUUUUUUAGAUUUUCAAGCAUUUAUAAAUCUACUUGAUUUGAAUCAUUUUUGGAGUUUAACAUUUUAUGAUUAGAGAUGAAAAUAGAUACUCAAGUUAUCUUAAGAAUUUUUAUACUAAAAUUAUAUUUAUAACAAAAUUUGAAGGUGCACCUUAAUUUGAUUGUUUAAGGUUGCAACCUUAUACAAACCACACCCUUGUUUUAAAUAUCCUUUUACCUAUAAAUAAGGCCAUAGUAUUAUUGUUUCCUGAUAUAUUCUGUAUAGCAUGACAAUGUGAUAACUCGUAUGAUUGUCCCUCCAUGCCUACUAUUCUGAUUGUCUCUCCAUGGCUACUAUUACC
rnacentral:lncRNA from 1 species